UCAGUUCGACGACUGCUCUCGAAGUGUGAACACAUCUUAGUAAAAUAUAAUUCAAUUGCUCUUACUUGAACGUCUAUUAUUCGUUAACCUGGGUUCCAAUUAACAUCUAAUCGACUAAAAUAAAAGUAAUAAAUUUUUUAAGGGACCAAGUAAACCCCGCUGUCGAAGAUGGACGUCAUAAGGUAGAGACCCAGCAAUCUCCAACCUCGUCCUGAUUGGUGGCAUAAACAAGAAUUAGUUCCAAAAAUAUUCCCAGCUAAGGACCGCCCGGGGUCGAGGGAGACGCUGGAGUGGAUUUUGGAGGGUUCGCGGGGCGUCAAUUUUGAAAACGAUAAUCUUAAAAAGUUGUUUUCAUAAUUAUGCACGGAACGAUUAGUCAAUCGAUAACAAGCAAUCGUAUGGACGAAGACUACACUGGCAGAAAGAGCACAAAAAUGAUGGUUAUGAACAUACAACUUGGACCAAUUGUCGUGUAGACCGCUAGUGAUAGAAACAUUCCCACGAUUUUACAAAGAUGACGUAUGAAGUCUUAGAAAGUGGGUUUGAGGAAUUUGGAAACAGGAAACGACCAAUAAAUCUUGAAACCGUUCAACGCAGUCCUUGUCAUCCAAAACAAAAAGUUCUUUGUAAAGUCUUUCCAGAAGAGUUUUCAGGUGCUAUUUGAGUCUUACAUUACACCGUUUGGAUCAUAAAAUGUUUCCCAGAGACAGUUUAAUGUUCCUCAAGAGGAACUAAAGUAUUUUCUAUCACUCUCUAAAAGUCAUAUGUGAGGCCCCUUUGUUCAAGUCACGUCGCAUCGAGAGUGGGAUUUGGGUCAGUUUGGGUCAGCUAUCACGGGGAUGUAAGACCAACCCCAUCACUAAGUUCAGGGCCACGAUUGGGCCCCUACUCCCUCAUGUGGGAUGAACCCCGCCAUCUUCAACACUUAGAAUAAUUUCUAGAAUGAGACUAACGUUAGGCCCAUUACAUACGUCGACACGACUUGUUCGGGAACACUUCUAGACGUUUCCCAAAAUUUUAUUGUAACUAGCAUAUUAAUUUCGCAGUGAUUUAUAAACGACAAACAGGACUAUGAUAAAAUUGAUGUUUGUGUUUAUUUAUUUCAUGUCAAAAUUCCUGCACUUGUGAAGCAGAAUGGUUUAGCACUCCACGAAGAAUGGACCCACCACCUGGAACACCCGAGGACCAGAUUGGAACGUGUUGGAAUAUUUGAGUACAGUACUUUCAUUGCCCUACAAAAAUCACUGGACACCUCUUUUUGUUUCUCUGGGAGACAGCUCUACUAAGGGACUAAUUUACGAUCAGUUGUACUCCGCUUUCGAGACGGUUUGAUCCUAAACAUAUGCUGAAUGUUUAUUCGAGUCAUAAAACUGCUUUUCUUUUCCCUGAGAGCGUUUUCCCUUUGAUAUAGUUUUCAAUCUCUGGACAACGGUCCUCUAGUUGAGACGUGCCUUCCUCGUGCUAAUGAAGAAUAUUCGAGAAAGUGAUUCACUGUGUCUCAAAUAAGUUGAUCAUUUACACCCAUAUUCCAAUAGAACGCCACACGAUAAACCGAUUUUUAGCAGUCUAUGGGAUUAAAAACGUGUGGAUGGUGCGAUGAUGUGGCUACUCCGUCUACUUCCAGGGACACCGAUCGUACCGACGGAGCCACAUACUCAGUAGUAAUACCCCAAGACCUUCAAAAUUAUCGGAUAUUUCCCGAGAGUUUCGUUGCGUAGCAACGAGAGGGAUAAGGUUCGCAGGUUAAAAAACUCGAGCGCGAAGCGCGAGGGUUUUUCUGCGAAUCUUAUCCCGAUCGGUGCUACGCAGGGAAACUGGAGGGAAAUAUCCGAUUAAUUUUGAAGGUCGAGGGGUAUUUGGCUGGAUUAUUUUUUUCAUUCCAAUUUCAAACAAUUAAAUGUGUGGCAUUUCACGUCAUAUAGUAUGGUUUUUCACUCGUAGUUGUGGCUUCUCCAGCGUAUAUUCUCUGUCUGCACAAAAUGCAGAGAAUUGUUUCCAAAUUGUGGCUUUGGUCUUCACUGUAUUAUUAGGAACAUUAUUUUCAAUUUUCUGAUCAAUAAUCUCCAAGGAUUCUCCUCCAAAUCUGCUCAUGUCGAGGUAAAGUCUUUGAACUUGAUUUUUUGUAAUGACAGUUUUGGGGUUUGAAACGCGUACAAAUUGUUUAUCGGAUAUUUUCAUUGCUUAGCAACAAACAGGGAAAUAUCCGAAAAAUAUCCGAAGUAAAACUCUCUUACUUGUACCACGUGACGGGAAAUGCCACCAUUUGAUUGGUUGAAAUUGGGAUGAAAAAAAUUAUCACUUAAAUCGUAGAAAACAAUUCUGGGGUUGGUUAGUAAAUUUUACUUUUCCAGAACAGGAGAAAUUUGCAUCACACCGAUUGGAUGGGGAUUACAGAACCAAUGGUUGGUAGAAGUAACUAACGUUAACGCAAAAUCCGUUAACCAAAAAUAGAAUUUUUCCUGAAAUCGAAAUAAAAAUUGCAGAAACAAAAACGUAAAAUUUGGCGUCAACGAGAUAUUAUUUAUUAUCAUCAAGACGAUAUUUCUUGAGUGAAAAAUAAAAUGAGAUGUUGACACAUAAAAACAAUUCAAAAAAUACAUUUUUACCAAAGACAAAGGUCAUUUUUACCAAAAACGUUUCUUUGCAUAACUAUCACGAGUCUUUUUUAAAAAUUCUCUUUUCUUCAAUAACUCAAAAAUAAAGCGAUUUUAUUAACAUUUUUGGAUGACAAUCUAUUCCGUACGAUAAUAUCUUCUGAGACAAUUCAUUGUAUUGCUACGUAAUUACGGUCAAUUUGAUAAUAAUGGAAAUUUUUUUUGUUGAAGAAGGUUGUGGUGAUGAUAACUCCCUGAAAACUGAAGAUAAGAACCUAAAUUUUGGUGUGAUUCUAGGUCAUAUGAUUCUACAGAGGUGCAUUUUUUCAACUAUUCAUUUACUCAAGAGAAAUAUUUAUUUUCCCAAAAAUUAUGUUUUACGGAUUGAGUCGUUCCCAGAGGAGCUUAAUUAGCUUUCACUGAUGACAAUCUUAUUACUCUCGAGUAUGACCAUGUUGCACAGAACUUCGAAUCAAUUCCGUUAAUGAUUUUUCGUUUUUCUAAAUUUCUGAUUUACUGAGGAAAGAAUUUCGAGGAAUUUUUUAAUGGCGAUAAUUAUUGAAGUAAUUUACUCAAGGUUAUUAAUAACAUGAUCAUGUUCUAGAACAAUCUAAUUGCCGUAAUUCAAACCUGAUGAAUAUAGCCAUUGUAAUCACUUUACUGGAACCAUAUAAUAUUGAAAAAAUAAAUACUUCGCUGACGGAAAUGAAUAUUGGGCACAAAUAAUUUUUUUCCUUAGUAUUUCUUAUUGUUGUUCAAGAGCUGAAACAAAAAAGUUGAGUUAUCUCCGCAAGUACUGGAUCGAUUGACUUUCUUUCGUAAUAAUUGUCAUGUAAUCUGCUGAGCAUAGGGAGCAAAAAAAUCUGCACCAAGAACUUUGGAUUUCGUUCAACUAUUUUUUUUUAUCAUCCAAAACAUCUUUUUUUUUUAUCAUCAAAAACACCUUUUUUUUAUCAUCCAAAACAUCUUUAUCACCUUUUAUUAAAAGAAAUUUCGAGGUGUGGUUUGAGGUUCCUUUUUAUUUCUAUUUAUUUAUCAAACAUUUUCAGGGCAAAUCACUACACAAAACUUCCUCUCGGUGCCUUUUUUACAAAAAAUUAUUUUUGUUUUUUUCAGCAGAUGUCAUAGAUUUUUUUUAAAUAAAAAAGCUUUUGUUUCCUGGACUUUGUUUUGUUAAUGGUGGUUUUUCAUUUUGCUUUUGUGAAUGUUGGCAACACAUUAAAAUCCACUGACUCCCUUUCGGGUGGGUCAGUGCUGUCAACGCCACCAAUUGAUUCUGACAAUUUUAUAAUGUGAUAUCGUGACAAUGUCAUUAUGGGACCGUUGCUAUCCGCGCAUUUGUUUAAACUAUAAACCCGAAUGUAGUGUAACUAAGGGCAAUAUUCUGAUUCAUUGUCUUCCACUCGAGAUAAUUAUUAAAAAAUAUUUAGAGGU